GCCUACGGGGGGCAGCAGUGAGGAAUAUUGGUCAAUGGUCGGGAGGCUGAACCAGCCAAGCCGCGUGAGGGAGGAAGGUACAGAGUAUCGUAAACCUCUUUUGUCAGGGAACAAAGGCGGGGACGUGUCCCCGGAUGAGUGUACCUGAAGAAAAAGCAUCGGCUAACUCCGUGCCAGCAGCCGCGGUAAUACGGAGGAUGCGAGCGUUAUCCGGAUUUAUUGGGUUUAAAGGGUGCGCAGGCGGUCUGUUAAGUCUGCGGUCAAAGCCCGGGGCUCAACCCCGGCCCGCCGUUGAAACUGGCGGG
rnacentral:rRNA from 1 species